GUCGUCGCCGCGUUCCGGAAGAGGAAGGUGGACGUGCCGGAGAUGCCGGCUUGCUCUACCACAACAAGGAGCUCGACGCCCCCAUCGCCGGGGGGCCGCCGAGCGUGCUGCGGGCGAGCGGGUUCGGGUGCUGCUGAUGGCCCCGCCCCUCGCUAGGCCAUGCCGGCCAUACUGCUCUCAUACUCCGAGGUACGCAAUAGCAUGCACUCCACCUGUUUGCUCAAGUGCCUAUGGGAGAUGGAAAUCAGUUUGGCCUAGGAGUAGCAUGCUGUAGGAUCCAUGGAUCAAGGUUAGACAUCUCUUUGGAUUAUCACUGGCUGAUCCAGUAGGUGCAUACUGAUCUAUCCAUGCUAAUUGAAAGUGUAGUGAAUGGUGAUUAGCACAUGUGUAGUACUCCAAUAUAUACUGAACAUUCCAGUUGACCAUUUCUCAAUGAUGAGAAGCUGAAAUUAACUGCAACAAGGUGGACGGAAGGCGAUCAUGAUGGAAGUAAUAAUUUGAUUAAACAGUGGUUUUUAGUGUAUGGGGUCCCAAGAAAAUACAGAAGUUCGGUGGAGUUAUAUCAAGUUGCUUCCGCGUUUGGAAUGUUGAUUGAUGUGGACGAGGAAAGUUUCAAAGUUGGGGAUAAGGAGCCUAUCAGUCUGAAGAUAGCAUUAACAAAUAUUGACGGUGCUCCAUUCUCCUAUCACUACGUGGUUGGAUGGCCUUCCAGAAUGGUCAUGUUAACAGUACAAGCAAAAAUAGAUUCAGAGAACAGCAGCCAUAGCACAAGGGCGGUAAAUUCAGCAGGCAACCACAUGUUGGACUUCGGAGAUUCCUCAGAUAAGGAGCAUACAAAGGAACUUAAAGCAGCACAAAGUACACUGCUGGAAGAUCCGGCGUGUAUUGAACAGUCAAGAUUACAUGAUGGCAAGACCAAAGAAAACAAAAUAACUACUCCAGCAGCCACAGUAAACAACUCGAAGGAAACAACAAUACAAAGUUCAAAACCUGAAGGGGUGCAAUCGAUAUGUCUAAAGUCUAAACUCAACAAGAAUGAUUGGAGAAGACCGUUUCAAAGGUAUAUUAAACCCUCCUAUCAAGCAUGUAUACACAAGGAGAAGUAAGAAGCUGCAAGUUACUGAAGCAAUAAACAAAAGCUCAUUGAAUUAACUGGAUUAAGGAAUGAGUCCAGAGAGCAGUAAUGCUGCAAGGAUUGGGGCUUCAGAAAUGGAAUGCAAGAUGGAACUGAAGAUGGAAGAAAUGACUCUAAUGGGAGUAAGAAAAAUGUCUGAAGAGGUUGGAGCAUGCAGGGAGAAGGAAGACAAUAGUGUCAUUCUACCCGCCACUACAAUCAACUUUAAGGAGAAGAAAAUAUCAGAAGACAGUUCAAAAAUUGAGAUAGCGCAAUUAGUCACUACUACGCACAUAAAGUGGAAGACAAUAGUGCCAUUCUACCCGCCACUACAAUCAACUCUAAGGAGAAGAAAAUAUCGGAAGACAGUUCAAAAAUUGAGACAGCGCAAUUAGUCACUACUACGCACAUAAAGGUUUUACAUAUACACGUGUCUUAUGACUCAUCUAUUCUGGUAGAAAAUGACAUUCCCUUACUUCAUAUGGGGAUCGGUAUGUUGUAUUUUGUAGAGCAUUGCCCCUUGUCAUCUUUAUGAUCUAAAUAAAAUAAUACGAAAUUACCAUGUAUUGUUAUUUACUUUGUCAUCUAAGAAUUUAAGAGACAUGGAUAUUAGAUUAAUGAAUAUAGUUUUUUUUACAAUUAAUAAAUAUACACUUUUCAGAACUAAAAGCAAUCAAAAUGCCAGCCAUAUGCUUUCUAAUGAUCGUCUAUUCACAAAAGGGCAUUGUUUGUGCGCCUUCGGAGUUCGGACCACAUGUACAAACUCUGCUUCUUAUUAGUUAAUGCUGGAAUCAUUCCGGAUUUCUUUUCAUAAAAAAUGUAGAGACUAAAGCUUUACUUAAGGUAAAUGAUUGUGAAGUUUUUGUUAUCACAAAAUAAAUUUUCUUUUCUGGACAUCAAGCUCCAAAUUUAGUUUUAAUUUCAUUCUCCAGUUUUGAGUAAUCACAAGCAUUGGUACAAUAAUAUUGGGCGUCAUUUUUGCUAAAAAAACUAAUUUUGACCACAGUAGUCUGCUAAAAAUUCCAUCAUCACUUGCAUUAAUGUAACCAUUGACCUUUUACGUGCUUUGGCGGGUUAGCUAACCAGCCCCUUCACAACUUAGAAGGUGUUUCAUUGUCAUGAAAGUAGCCACUCCUAUGUCCAACAUUUCACUUGUAUCUUCAACCUCUGUAUCUACACAAAGAUAAAUUGUGAAAGGAAGACAUUUUAGAAGUCUUUCUAAAGAAAAAGUGAAAAGCAAGUUUCAAGAGUUCAAAAUGUCAGCUGCGGAGCUGCAGUAUGUACCCCCAAUAUUUGAUUCCUCGCAUUCUAUAGCUUUUUCAGCCCUAAGCCUUUGUGAUUCCUGCUAUGAUUUUUUUGAUUGCGACCUUUGUCAGAUCAGUUCCAAAAUACCAUGUACAGUUUUGAGGUGAGAGCAUCAUGAUCCAAGGUGUGCGGAUAGUAGUCACUCUAUUAAUACUAUAUUUAUUAUAUAGUAACAGCUAUUAUUAUUUUCAUCCUUCUCCAGUGCAACUUCUUCCGAGGAUGAUGAGUUUUGUCACAUAUAAGGAUGCAGCUUUGUGAUGCUACCUGUCUUUGGCUUCAGAGGAGAGAUUUAUCAGAAAAAGAUAUUGCACAUGUAUUACUUAGUUUUGCUCUAAUAUUGCUAUGGUAGUCUACAUAAAUUGGCAGUGACACACACUGAUAAUUCACUAAAUUUGUCCUCGGUUCAACUAUUGUUUGCUGAUAAUGCCAUAAUGCAAAAUGAAGUGUUGACUGGGUAAGUAA